CAGGUUAUCAUUGAAAAAUUCUUGGGUAUUAUAGUAGGCCCUCUCCACCACUUCUCCACAAUGGUAUCCAUAGUUUUUAGAAUAGAGUAUCCGAUACUCGAACUUCAGUAGAAUAUCCGAUACUUUUCCUUGGAUAGAUACUUUUUGCACAGCCCUACUUUGGUCGUGAAUUAUUUAUACGAACAGUAUUCUGUGGUGCUCAUCUCAUAUUAUUCAAUUUAAAUGUCAGUUUCAGUUCAGAUCAGUAAUCGCCGAUUUUCAAUACGGAAAUGUUUGAACUUUCAAUAGCUGAUAAAAUAAAAUAUUAAAUAAUGGAUGAAAAACAAACUACUCCAUCUGAUAUGAAGGGAUAUGAAGAAUUAUUGACAAUAGGCAGAGGUGCUUAUGGUACAGUAUAUAAAGCUCGGGA